UAUUCAAUAAAAUACUUGCAAACUGAAUACAGCAGCACAACAAAAAGCUAAUCCACCAUGAACAAGUAGGCUCGAUCCCUGGGAUGAAAGGCUGGUUCAACAUACGCAAAUCAAUAAAUGUAAUCCAACAUAUAAACAGAACCAAAGA